GACGAACGCUGGCGGCAUGCCUAACACAUGCAAGUCGAACGGAGAUUAUUUCGGUAAUCUUAGUGGCGAACGGGUGAGUAACGCGUGGGCAACCUACCCUCUAGAUGGGGACAACAUCCCGAAAGGGGUGCUAAUACCGAAUGUGACAGCAAUCUCGCAUGAGGAUGCUGUGAAAGAUGGCCUCUAUUUAUAAGCUAUCGCUAGAGGAUGGGCCUGCGUCUGAUUAGCUAGUUGGUGGGGUAACGGCCUACCAAGGCGAUGAUCAGUAGCCGGACUGAGAGGAUGAACGGCCACAUUGGGACUGAGACACGGCCCAGACUCCUACGGGAGGCAGCAGUGGGGAAUCUUCCGCAAUGGGCGAAAGCCUGACGGAGCAAUGCCGCGUGAGUGAUGAAGGAAUUCGUUCCGUAAAGCUCUUUUGUUUAUGACGAAUGUGCAGAUUGUGAACAAUGAUUUGUAAUGACGGUAGUAAACGAAUAAGCCACGGCUAACUACGUGCCAGCAGCCGCCGUAAAAC
rnacentral:rRNA from 1 species